AGAGGGGGCAAGCGUUAUUYGGAAUUAUUGGGCGUAAAGGGCGCGUAGGCGGUUUUUUAAGUCAGAUGUGUAAUCCCCGAGCUUAACUUGGGAACUGCAUYUGAGACUGGAAGGCUAGAGUACUGGAGAGGGUGGUGGAAUUCCUCGUGUAGCGGUGAAAUGCGUAGAGAUGAGGAGGAACACCMGUGGCGAAGGCGGCCMCCUGGACAGUAACUGACGCUGAGGCGCGAAAGYGUGGGUAGCAAACAGGAUUAGAUACCCUGGUAGUCCACGCUGUAAACGAUGAACACUUGGUGUGGAGGGAGUUGACCCCUUCCGUGCCGGA
rnacentral:rRNA from 1 species